GGAUUACCCGCUGAAUUUAAGCAUAA
rnacentral:rRNA from 1 species